CACCCUCAAUCUUUCUCUCCAUCUUCUUCAUUGAAUUUGAAAUCUUUGAAUCAAAUAUUUCUUGCAAUCUGAUGCUCAAUCAGUCGUUGAACUCGAAUCUCUGAAACAGGAUUCGCUAGCCGCCGUAAACUUCCGGUGAUGAUCAUCCUCAAUGUCGCCUUCCUUUCAUUCGUCAUGACCGGCUUGAAAUUGAGUUGAUGUAGGAUUUCCUUCUGCGACGGGGAGUAUAAUAUACGCUAUCCUUCAGAUUGUGAUCACAGGUGUUGGAGCAGCCCUCAUAAAUAAAGCAGGCCGGAAGCCCCUACUUUUGGUAUCUGGAUCAAGAUUGGUUGCAGGAUGUAUAUUUACUGCAGUUGCAUUCUAUCUCAAGGUACAUCCCAACUAAGAACAUUACAACUUCAAGUUAUUAUUCCUAAUAUAUAUGUAAAAUUGAUAUCCUUGUGUGAGUAACAGGUUCAUGAUGUGGCUGUGGGAGCAGUCCCAGCACUUGCCGUAACCGGCAUAUUGAUAUUUCCUGUCAAUAUUAAAGGGCAGGCAUGAAGCAUAGCAACAUUAGUGAACUGGUUUUCAGGAACUUUCGAGUAUUUAGACCAUUCAAAUCUGUUAUAAAAUUUGCUUAUAAUUAUUGAAAUGUGAAUUCUUUCAAUCAAUUAGAUUAAUUUAGCUUAAAGGAAUUGACUUUAGGUUGUUGUAUUCCUUGAUUCAUCAAUGUGUGAAUGCUAUCAAAGUGCCAUUGUGAAAGAUUCCACAAAUUACUAAUGGUUUAAAGACAGUUAGUAUUAUGAUUCUCUAAGACAUUUACCAUCAUGUGCUCUACAAAGUUAACUAUUGUACCCAACAACAAACCCUUAAAUGAUCUUACUGGAAGUUUGAAGCAUUACCUUCUGGAAAUAAUUUGACUAAUCGCUAAGAAUUCAAGUGAUGGGCUAGAAUUGGUCUGAGUAUUCCGAUAAUGGUUGUUGAUUUGUUAUUAUUUACUACUUGUCUCUGUGGCUACUGUAAAGAGAAGUGAUAAAGCCAGUUGAUUUUUUACCUUCACUUUCCUGAUUUUUCAUAUCAUGUUUGUGAUGUAAUAGGAAACCCCGCUUUAGAUUGGAACACAAGAAAGAGGAUAGCAAUUGGAGCUGCUCGGGGCCUUCUGUAUCUUCAUGAGUAAUGUGAUCCAAAAAACAUACACAGAGAUGUAAAAGCUGCUAAUGUGCUUCUGGAUAAUGAUUAUGAGGCUAUAGUUGGUGAUUUUGGCCUUGCAAAGCUCCUUGAUCAUGUUGAUUCCCAUGUCACCACUGCUGUACGUGGCACUGUUGGACACAUUGCACCGAAGUACCUCUCGACUGGCCAAUCAUCUGAGAAAACUGAUGUGUUUGGAUUCGGCAUUCUCUUAUUAGAGCUUAUAACUGGAAUGACAACCCUUGAGUUUGGAAAAACCUUGAAU